GAUGAACGCCGGCGGCGUGCUUAACACAUGCAAGUCGAACGGAAAGGCCCCAGCUUGCUGGGGUACUCGAGUGGCGAACGGGUGAGUAACACGUGGGUGAUCUGCCCUGCACUUUGGGAUAAGCUUGGGAAACUGGGUCUAAUACCGAAUAUGACCACUUCUUGGAUGUUGUGGUGGAAAGCUUUUGCGGUGUGGGAUGAGCCUGCGGCCUAUCAGCUUGUUGGUGGGGUAAUGGCCUACCAAGGCGGCGACGGGUAUCCGGCCUGAGAGGGUGUACGGACGCAUUGGGACUGAGAUACGUCCCAGACUCCUACGUGAGGCAGCAGUGGGGAAUAUUGCACAAUGGGCGCAAGCCUGAUGCAGCGACGCCGCGUGGGGGAUGAAGGCCUUCGGGUUGUAAACUCCUUUCGCUAUCGACGAAGCCACUUGUGGUGACGGUAGGUAGAUAAGAAGCACCGGCUAACUACGUGCCAGCCGCCGCGGUAA
rnacentral:rRNA from 1 species